AACCCUCGCCUCUAGUUGCCAGCAUUCGGUUGGGCACUCUAGAGGGACUGCCGGCGACAAGUCGGAGGAAGUGGGAUGACGUCAAAUCAUCAUGCCCCUUAUGACCUGGGCUACACACGUGCUACAAUGGGCGGUACAAAGGGCUGCGAACCCGCGAGGGGGAGCGGAAUCCCAAAAAAGCCGACUCUCAGUUCGGAUUGCAGGCUGCAACUCGCCUGCAUGAAGUCGGAAUCGCUAGUAAUCGCGGAUCAGCUACGCCGCGGUGAAUACGUUCUCGGGCCCUU
rnacentral:rRNA from 1 species